UGCCCUAUGGUGUAAUGGUCAGCACAGAUGACUCUAAAUCAUUUAGUCUGGGUUCGAAUCCUAGUAGGGCAA
rnacentral:tRNA from 3 species